GGGCUUGACAUCCCACGAACCUGAAAGGGGGAUGACUCGUUAAGCCGAGUGCCUACACAGGUGUUGCAUGGCUGUCGUCAGCUCGUGUCGUGAGAUGUUGGGUUAAGUCCCGCAACGAGCGCAACCCUUAUCCUUUGUUGCCACCCUGUUUUUGGGAAACUAAAAGCAGGAGCACUCUAAGGAGACUGCCUGUGAUAAACAGGAGGAAGGUGGGGAUGACGUCAAGUCAGUACGGCCCUUAUGUCCUGGGCUACACACGUGUUACAAUGGGAUGUACAAAGGGUAGCGAAGCCGCGAGGUGAAGCUAAUCUCAAAAAACAUCCCUCAGUUCGGAUUGGAGUCUGCAAUUCGACUCCAUGAAGCUGGAAUCGCUAGUAAUGGCGGAUCAGAUACGCCGCCGUGAAUACGUUCCCGGGCCUUGUACACACCGCCCGUCACACCACGAAAGCCAGCUGUACUCGAAGUCGCUGAG
rnacentral:rRNA from 1 species